AGUACGCUAUGUGAAUCAUCGAAUCUUUGAACGUAAGUGGCGCUCUGUGCAAACGGAGCAUGUUUGGCUGAGGGUUGUUUGCGAUGCAUGGCGGUAUGCUUUGUCAUGAAGCAGUUCCGCUUGAAUAGUGUGAUGUUGGGUGAGAUUGGCUGGACGUGUGUUUCUGUGCUUUUCGGUGCUGGAUCGUGGUUUGACGCUGUUUUACCGACAGUGUCUUACUGUUUUCCGUAUAGUACUGUUUGGCAUGUUGCACUGUGGUGUCUGGUUAAUUAACCUGACGGAGACUAUUGCCUUGACGGUGAGCAUUUCGAUGCUUGCUUGGUGGUUUCACGACCAUUGUGUUUUAGGCACUACUUUUAGACAACCUCAGAUCAAGCGGGAUUACCCGCCGAACUUAAGCAUAUCAAUAAGCGGAGG
rnacentral:rRNA from 1 species